CAAGAUUGUUUCCUGCGGCACAGUAGGUGAACAUAAACUUAUGUUCAUUCCAUUCAUCCAUCAGUAAACAAAUUCAUCGGUGUCGUGAAGUUAUGCAAGUUUCGUAGAAAACGUGAAUGCUAAGAAUUUUUUUGGUAAAUAUUCUGAAGCGAUGCGCUACGGACGAUCUAGGCUACCGGAAAUCAUUCUUGUGACUAUAUUCGGCAUAGGUGGUGGGUUCUACGCGUUUCAGCCGGCAUUCAAGCAGUACCAGCUCGAUAACGCAUCGUCCACUGGCUCAGUAGAAGGCGGUCAAGCGAAAUCAACUGCUAAGUAGGUAGCUAACCACUUUAGUGAAGGAGGUAGCAGUAAACGAAAGCUAAAAAAAUGUUCACACUAAUGAAUAUGUACCGAGUGCUGCGGGGAUCCCCAGUGGCAAUACUCGGCGGUGCCAUUCUCAUUACCGGGUCCGUAAUGGUGGUCGUAAAGAAAGUUUACGAACCGCACAAGGCGCGGAAUCGCCGGGCAGAGGCCGAAUACAUUGCGGACUAUCUGUUCCGCAAGGAGCAGGAAGCGCUAGGUAGUCCACUUCGGGACGACAAAGAAACUCUGAAGGAUUAGUCUCUAGAUUUAGAAUAAUGUCUUUUUGAAUUAGGAUUUUAGUUGUAUCUUAUUUUAAACAAGUUUUCUGAUACACGCAA